rfam:Picea glauca, whole genome shotgun sequence.
AGCCGUGUGGUCGACACAUAUCAAACUAUUAUUUCACCUUUUACUAAAGAAUACCAUGCGUUGGCCACACUGAGUGGCAUACACAAAUAUUUGGAGGCUUCCAUCUCUUUAAGAUGGAG